UACGUAGGGGGCAAGCGUUGUCCGGAUUUAUUGGGCGUAAAGAGCGUGUAGGCGGCCAUGCAGGUCCGUUGUGAAAACUGGAGGCUUAACCUCCAGACGUCGAUGGAAACCGUAUGGCUAGAGUCCGGAAGAGGAGAGUGGAAUUCCUGGUGUAGCGGUGAAAUGCGCAGAUAUCAGGAGGAACACCGGUGGCGAAGGCGGUUCUCUGGGACGUGACUGACGCUGAGACGCGAAAGCGUGGGGAGCAAACAGG
rnacentral:rRNA from 1 species